GGGUUGUGAGGUUAAGCGACUAAGCGUACACGGUGGAUGCCCUGGCAGUCAGAGGCGAUGAAGGACGUGCUAAUCUGCGAUAAGCGUCGGUGAGGUGAUAUGAACCGUUAUAACCGGCGAUUUCCGAAUGGGGAAACCCAGUGUGUUUCGACACACUAUCAUUAACUGAAUCCAUAGGUUAAUGAGGCGAACCGGGGGAACUGAAACAUCUAAGUACCCCGAGGAAAAGAAAUCAACCGAGAUUCCCCCAGUAGCGGCGAGCGAACGGGGAGGAGCCCAGAGCCUGAAUCAGUGUGUGUGUUAGUGGAAGCGUCUGGAAAGGCGCGCGAUACAGGGUGACAGCCCCGUACACAAAAAUGCACAUACUGUGAGCUCGAUGAGUAGGGCGGGACACGUGGUAUCCUGUCUGAAUAUGGGGGGACCAUCCUCCAAGGCUAAAUACUCCUGACUGACCGAUAGUGAACCAGUACCGUGAGGGAAAGGCGAAAAGAACCCCGGCGAGGGGAGUGAAAAAGAACCUGAAACCGUGUACGUACAAGCAGUGGGAGCCUCUUAAUGGGGUGACUGCGUACCUUUUGUAUAAUGGGUCAGCGACUUAUAUUCUGUAGCAAGGUUAACCGAAUAGGGGAGCCGAAGGGAAACCGAGUCUUAACUGGGCGUUAAGUUGCAGGGUAUAGACCCGAAACCCGGUGAUCUAGCCAUGGGCAGGUUGAAGGUUGGGUAACACUAACUGGAGGACCGAACCGACUAAUGUUGAAAAAUUAGCGGAUGACUUGUGGCUGGGGGUGAAAGGCCAAUCAAACCGGGAGAUAGCUGGUUCUCCCCGAAAGCUAUUUAGGUAGCGCCUCGUGAAUUCAUCUCCGGGGGUAGAGCACUGUUUCGGCAAGGGGGUCAUCCCGACUUACCAACCCGAUGCAAACUGCGAAUACCGGAGAAUGUUAUCACGGGAGACACACGGCGGGUGCUAACGUCCGUCGUGAAGAGGGAAACAACCCAGACCGCCAGCUAAGGUCCCAAAGUCAUGGUUAAGUGGGAAACGAUGUGGGAAGGCCCAGACAGCCAGGAUGUUGGCUUAGAAGCAGCCAUCAUUUAAAGAAAGCGUAAUAGCUCACUGGUCGAGUCGGCCUGCGCGGAAGAUGUAACGGGGCUAAACCAUGCACCGAAGCUGCGGCAGCGACACUAUGUGUUGUUGGGUAGGGGAGCGUUCUGUAAGCCUGUGAAGGUGGCCUGUGAGGGUUGCUGGAGGUAUCAGAAGUGCGAAUGCUGACAUAAGUAACGAUAAAGCGGGUGAAAAGCCCGCUCGCCGGAAGACCAAGGGUUCCUGUCCAACGUUAAUCGGGGCAGGGUGAGUCGACCCCUAAGGCGAGGCCGAAAGGCGUAGUCGAUGGGAAACAGGUUAAUAUUCCUGUACUUGGUGUUACUGCGAAGGGGGGACGGAGAAGGCUAUGUUGGCCGGGCGACGGUUGUCCCGGUUUAAGCGUGUAGGCUGGUUUUCCAGGCAAAUCCGGAAAACCAAGGCUGAGGCGUGAUGACGAGGCACUACGGUGCUGAAGCAACAAAUGCCCUGCUUCCAGGAAAAGCCUCUAAGCAUCAGGUAACAUCAAAUCGUACCCCAAACCGACACAGGUGGUCAGGUAGAGAAUACCAAGGCGCUUGAGAGAACUCGGGUGAAGGAACUAGGCAAAAUGGUGCCGUAACUUCGGGAGAAGGCACGCUGAUAUGUAGGUGAAGCGACUUGCUCGUGGAGCUGAAAUCAGUCGAAGAUACCAGCUGGCUGCAACUGUUUAUUAAAAACACAGCACUGUGCAAACACGAAAGUGGACGUAUACGGUGUGACGCCUGCCCGGUGCCGGAAGGUUAAUUGAUGGGGUUAGCGGUAACGCGAAGCUCUUGAUCGAAGCCCCGGUAAACGGCGGCCGUAACUAUAACGGUCCUAAGGUAGCGAAAUUCCUUGUCGGGUAAGUUCCGACCUGCACGAAUGGCGUAAUGAUGGCCAGGCUGUCUCCACCCGAGACUCAGUGAAAUUGAACUCGCUGUGAAGAUGCAGUGUACCCGCGGCAAGACGGAAAGACCCCGUGAACCUUUACUAUAGCUUGACACUGAACAUUGAGCCUUGAUGUGUAGGAUAGGUGGGAGGCUUUGAAGUGUGGACGCCAGUCUGCAUGGAGCCGACCUUGAAAUACCACCCUUUAAUGUUUGAUGUUCUAACGUUGGCCCGUAAUCCGGGUUGCGGACAGUGUCUGGUGGGUAGUUUGACUGGGGCGGUCUCCUCCUAAAGAGUAACGGAGGAGCACGAAGGUUGGCUAAUCCUGGUCGGACAUCAGGAGGUUAGUGCAAUGGCAUAAGCCAGCUUGACUGCGAGCGUGACGGCGCGAGCAGGUGCGAAAGCAGGUCAUAGUGAUCCGGUGGUUCUGAAUGGAAGGGCCAUCGCUCAACGGAUAAAAGGUACUCCGGGGAUAACAGGCUGAUACCGCCCAAGAGUUCAUAUCGACGGCGGUGUUUGGCACCUCGAUGUCGGCUCAUCACAUCCUGGGGCUGAAGUAGGUCCCAAGGGUAUGGCUGUUCGCCAUUUAAAGUGGUACGCGAGCUGGGUUUAGAACGUCGUGAGACAGUUCGGUCCCUAUCUGCCGUGGGCGCUGGAGAACUGAGGGGGGCUGCUCCUAGUACGAGAGGACCGGAGUGGACGCAUCACUGGUGUUCGGGUUGUCAUGCCAAUGGCACUGCCCGGUAGCUAAAUGCGGAAGAGAUAAGUGCUGAAAGCAUCUAAGCACGAAACUUGCCCCGAGAUGAGUUCUCCCUGAGACUUAGAGUCUCCUGAAGGAACGUUGAAGACGACGACGUUGAUAGGCCGGGUGUGUAAGCGCAGCGAUGCGUUGAGCUAACCGGUACUAAUGAACCGUGAGGCUUAACCUUACAACGCCGAAG
rnacentral:rRNA from 1 species